GGAAGAGAGAAGGGAAAUGAAAUGUGGAAGUGGAAGAUCUCCAAUAUGACUCCACGGCUUCUUCACUAUCAGACACGAUCAGGAGAAAAGAGAGACGAUCCUCAGAGUGUGUGGGAGGGGUCAGAGAAGUGUGAUACAUACGGCGUGGAGUGAAAUAUACAUAAGGCUUCAGCAUCAAUAUGUCUGGGUGGAAUGCAGAGUGGCAACAGCUGCACAAAGGAAGUGGGGAUAACUGUGAGGAGGAGGUGGAGGAGGAGGAGGAGGAGGAGGUGAGGAGGAGGUAUCAUCGAACAGACGAAGACAGAGGAAAUAAAUCAAUGUGAGCGCUGAAGGAUUCCUGAGGCUGGUCGGUGUGCGAGCGCCGGUCUGUCUUAUUGAUUCAGGAAUAUGUCAUCACAUCAUGUUCAGAAGCUGUUUAGCAGCUAUCAGACCCAGACAGAGCUCAUCUAUUAUUAAUGUUCUGAUCCGGUUCAUUAAACAUGGAGAGACUCCAGAACACAGGAGGUGAACCUCAGCGCCGACCGCAGGAGGACUUCACCUCCUCCUCCAACAACGACUGAGAGAAACAGAGGAGAGCAGAGGUCUGAGUCUGCUGCAGAUUUAAGAUAAAAACACAGAUUUAGAUUUUUAUAACUGAGUCAUCAGGACAAAAGGAGGAUGUCAGUGAUGAAGGAGCUGGACGGAGAGGACCUGACAGAAAACCUAACCUAAUCAGACUGGAUUAAAUAAAUUAAACUGAAACUAAAAUUAAAGAUUAAAAAGAUUUUUACAUGUAAAGACAGGAUCAGAAUUCCUCUGUCAGUUUCCGAUCACACUCAUGGACCUGAACCUCGGUCUCCGGUCAGAUGAGGAGACGUCACUCUGACUUUAAUAAUCCAGACUUCUCAUGUUUUAAUACCAGACUAUUGAUUCAGUCUGCUCACAGAAAUAACAGCGGCGUGUAAGAGGAGCGGCGAGGAAGAGGAUGAGGUCACCCACCUCCUCCUCCUCCUCCUCCUCUGUUCAACCUUUUCUUCACAAACUGGAUCACAUCCUAGUCCUGAUCAUCUGUAGAGUCCUUCCACCAAACACAAUCAGAACCUCCUCAAACAAUUUAACUCUGCAUUAGAACUACACAGACGACAAGCCCUGUGAUUGGUCGGCUUAAUGGCGAACACUUUUGGUAUCGCCAUGGUUUCCUGUGAACAAACAUGAGGGGAGGAUAGUGAGACCGGACUCCGGAGAUAUGAUGAUCACAGUUUCAGUGAAAUGUCUCAAGACCUCCAUGAGAGUCUUAGAGUAAGACCAGAACCUGGUCUGCUCACUAAAGAGGGACUGAAUGGAUUUGUAGGUUCUGGAGCGAGUUGAAAGGUCAGAAAUGCAUCAUGGGUAAGUCCAGGGUCGCAGAGACAUAAGACUCGCCAGUCCACUUCCUGAUAUUGUAGAUCUUCUCCAUGAAGAGGUGAACUUUCUGAACAUCAUCCAGUCCUUAACGCUGGUUCACGGUCUGCCAGUUCUGACCCUGACCCUGGCUCCAUCAGGACCAAAUGAGGUCCAUUUGAACCCUAUCUUUGCAUGUCUAUGGUUCUGUGUUCAACUCUCUUAGUGAUAAAACCAGAACUUUUCCUGAACCACGAUAAAACCAAGAUGGACCCUGAUCUGUUGGUUCUGGACAGUCAGAGUCAGCUGGAAUCAUAAAAACAUCAUCACCUGCUCCUAUCUUCUCAAUAAUCUCCCUAAACUGUCAAUAACUGAAGGUGUGGAGGUCUCUCUGGACUCUCAGAGUUUACGUCACCUGAUGAAGUUCUUCAGAGAGGAACUUCAGGAUUCAGACGAAUCUUUGCGUCUUAAAAACCUUCCUGUGAUCUGACAGACGCUCCUGUCUGAAUCUGUUUUUCUGUUUUGGACAGACACUCGUCAUCCAAACGACAGCCUGGCGUGUUGAGACGGCGACAACUAACCCACCUGUUGUCUCCCAACUGUUGGUCGUCUGCUGAGAGACGCCAGGAGACAACAAACAGAUCAGAAAGGACAUCAGGACCGUUUUCUUUUUGAGGAUUUAAUAAAGUCGUUUGUCGAAGAAACUGUGACGUAAACUUGGACAUUUAAGAGAAUCCUCGUAACUUCAUUAAUGUCAAAAAUCUACAGAUAUUUUCUUUUAUUUCUCUUGUGGUUUUUUUACUUUACGCUGCAGAUUUUAAAACAGAAAGAUAAAAUUAGGAUUAUUUUAAUCCCUCCUGCUGCAGGAGUCAGAAAACUUUCACAAGUUAUUUCUAUCUGAAGUCCAAAAGUCAAGAGGACUCGGUUUGGUACCGGACCACCUCUGCUGGUACCCAGAAUGACCCAGAAUGACCUUUUGAUGUUACCUAGGAUUUCCACCACAUCCAGAACGGCUCCGAUCCAGAACAGCAGCGAUUUUCGCCAUCCGCCAAUUCCUACCAGAUCUGUUUAUGAGGCGAAUUUCAUGGCGGAUUGCAGACAGUGGGAAUCACGAGAACUCACAAAAAUCUGCAGAUUCACG
rnacentral:lncRNA from 1 species